rnacentral:rRNA from 1 species
UACAGAGACCUCAAGCGUUAUCCGGAAUCAUUGGGCGUAAAGCGUACCGAUAGGUGGUUUAGAUAGUCAGAUGUGAAAUUCCAAGGCUCAACCUUGGGACUGUCAUUUGAAACUUCUAGACUAGAGGGGCAAAGAGGAAGCUGGAACGAACGGUGUAGUAGUGAAAUGCGUUGAUAUCGUUCGGAACACCAAUAGCGAAGGCAGGCUUCUGGGUGCCACCUGACACUGCUAGGACGAAAGCGUGGGGAGCGAAUGGG